rnacentral:rRNA from 1 species
AGUGAACGCUGGCGGUAGGCCUAACACAUGCAGGUCGAACGGCAGCACAGUAAGAGCUUGCUCUUACGGUUGGCGAGUUGCGGACGGGUGAGGAAUACAUCGGAAUCUACUUUUUCGUGGGGGAUAACGUAGGGAAACUUACGCUAAUACCGCAUACGACCUACGGGUGAAAGCAUGGGAUCUUCGGAUCUUGUGCGAUUGAAUGAGCCGAUGUCGGAUUAGCUAGUUGGCGGGGUAAAGGCCCACCAAGGCGACGAUCCGUAGCUGGUCUGAGAGGAUGAUCAGCCACACUGGAACUGAGACACGGUCCAGACUCCUACGGGAGGCAGCAGUGGGGAAUAUUGGACAAUGGGCGCAAGCCUGAUCCAGCCAUACCGCGUGGGUGAAGAAGGCCUUCGGGUUGUAAAGCCCUUUUGUUGGGAAAGAAAAGCAGCAGGUUAAUACCCCGCUGUUCUGACGGUACCCAAAGAAUAAGCACCGGCUAACUUCGUG